GUGGGGAAUAUUGGACAAUGGGCGAAAGCCUGAUCCAGCCAUGCCGCGUGUGUGAAGAAGGUCUUCGGAUUGUAAAGCACUUUAAGUUGGGAGGAAGGGCAGUAAGUUAAUACCUUGCUGUUUUGACGUUACCGACAGAAUAAGCACCGGCUAACUUCGUGCCAGCAGCCGCGGUAAUACGAAGGGUGCAAGCGUUAAUCGGAAUUACUGGGCGUAAAGCGCGCGUAGGUGGUGUUGUAAGUUGGAGGUGAAAUCCCCGGGCUCAACCUGGGAACUGCCUCCAAAACUACUGAGCUAGAGUACGGUAGAGGGUAGUGGAAUUUCCUGUGUAGCGGUGAAAUGCGUAGAUAUAGGAAGGAACACCAGUGGCGAAGGCGACUACCUGGACUGAUACUGACACUGAGGUGCGAAAGCGUGGGGAGCAAACAGGAUUAGAUACCCCUGUAGUCC
rnacentral:rRNA from 1 species